rnacentral:misc_RNA from 1 species
ACUGGCUCCAAGAUCACAUAAAGCUUUAUCUAUGCUGAUAUCUCCAAUGUGACAUGGUGUUGAAAAAUUACCAAGAUCCUUCAGUUUGAGUGGAAGCUUAUUUUGCAAGAUAGCACUGCUUUCUUCUGUAAGAGUUACUGUCUUAAAUUCUUUCAACUUCUUCUUGUUAGACAAAAUCUCCUUAAAAAAUUUAGCAUAUGAAGGCAUUUGUGCUAAGGCAUCAGUGAAAGGAAUAGUCACA